rnacentral:rRNA from 1 species
AUGGCUUGCUCCAUCUUGUGUAGCGUACUUGUAGUGGUCACCGCGGUGGUGAUCGGCACGGCUCGCGGCUCCGGCGACCAUCUCACCGCCGGCUUCACCCGUGUGAGGCUCACGGAGUCCCAGUUUGUUGUGCAGAAGCCCUACAACGUUCCGCUCGACGCGCGCUACGAGUUCGCCGGCGGCGUGCGUCGGAUGUGGGUCUUCUCCACCGACAAGCCCGGCAGCGCCACCCACCCCGGUGGCGCGCGCACUGAGAUCAAGAUCAACGAGGUGUACACGUCGGGGGUGUGGCAGUUCGAGGGUGAGGUGUACGUGCCGGCGGGCACGUCCGGCGCGUCCAUCAUGCAGAUCUUCGGGGCCAAGCCGGAGCGGCAGGCGACGACGCUGAUGCUCCACGUCUACGACGGCAACCUCACCUUCUACCACCGCCUGCAGAGUGUGCUCGCCCACGACGUCUACGACCGCUGGCUCCGGCUCAACGUCGUCCAUGACGUGGGCGCGCGCAACGUCACCGUCUUCGUCGAUGGCGCCGAGAAGCUGCGCUCGAGCAGCCACGGCGCGCCGCACGCCGAGCACUACUUCAAGUUCGGGGUGUACAAGCAAUCACACCACAACCCGUCGCACCGCAUGGAGUCACGGUGGAGGAACGUCCGGGUCUUCACCAAGCCAUGA